UCCAAAUCAGAGAGAGACGACUGUCAUCUGGAGCAAGUCGACGGGGUUGCCUCUUUAUAAGGCGAUUGUUUGGAUGGAUGGACGAACUAGCUCAAUCUGCAGGUUGCACUAGGUGGUAUGGCUGAACAGUCAGCUGCAAAUUACAAUGCUGAUCGUUUGCCAGAGGGAAAACUGAGGUACAUUUCUGCAUAAUCUCUUAUUAUUCUUUUCUGCAUUGUUUAAGCUUAGCAUACAAUUUAGUCAUAAUAUAUAAAAUUGGAUUUGAAGAAACAUAACCAAACCAAAUGGAAGGUAUUGCAUGAGAAAGCAAAUCAUAGCAAAUUAGAUUUCACGAAGUUGACAGUUUAUAUUUAUCAACUCCAUUAUGUAAACAAGUUCCUAUAGGUCAUAAGACUGGUUCAUCCGUAUGAUUGUUUGAAAUCUUGGUUUGCUAAUAAUUUAUAGUAUCAGUUUGGUUUCAGCAGUUCCAAGUUUGAAGUAUCAAGUGCAGUAUGGAGAGUUUCACCAGUUUGGUUGAUCAAAAGAUUUCUACAUUGAUUUUCUCCCUUAUAACAUUAUUGGAUAGUUUGGUUUCAGUGAGUAAGUAGGAGAAUUUUUCCUGUUCGGCAUGAAUGUUAUUUGUGAAUUGAGUUGAUGUUGCGUUCUUAUAGUUGGUUUGGUUGUUGUAUAGGUGCUCUUAGGCAUUCUCUGCAAGAUAGGUUGAGCAAGGGGAGCAGGGGUCAAGGAGAUGAGAUAUAUUUAAAACUCCGCACCAGUACAGGUUUGUUUGCCCAUUAUCUCUCCCAUGUAGGAUUAUUCUUUACACAAUAAUUACAUAACGAGGUAGAUACAUGACAAAUUUUGAUUUUUAUAGGGUCCAUAAGUUCUAUUGUAGUUGAAAAUUAACUGGUUGUUGCAUAAGUGGUUCUUUAUUUGGUGUUUGGAUUUAUUGUGUUGGCCAUCUUGAUUUUACAAGAACCAAGACUCUAUUUAUCCCCCUAACUGAUAUGUGGCUUCAUGGGAAUAUUUGUUUGAUUUUCUGUCCUCUGCACUAUGUGUAAAUGUCAAUUUUUUGUAAGAUAGGAAAUCCACAAUAGCUAUGUAUCCAUGAUUGACACCGACAAGCUGGAACAACAUGCUUCUUACAAAUCUGAGUUGAAACUCGUCAUAGAUGUUUGCAUACUCUUGUUGACAAGGUUUUCUUUUGUUUCAUGUUUUUAUUGUUUGCAGCUCUCUGUUUGUGUGUUGUUCUAAUCUCCUUCACAAUACUAAAGCUUUGAGCCUUAAUCUUGUGUUUAGUGUGCUAGUGUGCAUGUUUUCAGAUACGUUGAGAAUUAACAUUCUAGUUCUACCUAAGGGAUGCAAUUAUAUCAUUUGUUUUUUUUGUCAUAAUAUUGUCUUGUAACCACAAUUUUCAUGUACCCAUCACUGUUAGCCGUUACAAAAUGUUGUUUCCUAGUAGAUAUUGAAAUGUCAUUUUUAUUUUUCUGCAGAUCAAAGGUACCUUGCUUAAAGCUUUGUGUCAGGCUGAGAGAUCUAAUGUUUUUUUUUCGUUCCAAGAAGGUGAAAAGCGAAGAUACAUGCGAUCAUUCUGACGAAGGCGAGGAAGACGUUGAAGAGGAAGAGGCAAGGAAGAUUAGGCUUGGGCUUAAUAAGAAGAGUGGUGAUGAUGAUGAGUUGAUUGCGAAGGGAAAAUCCUAUGUGAAUUCGUGUAAAUAAUUGAUCUAAAAGUUUGUAAACAAGUUUUUCUAGUAUUUUGAUGAAUGUAUUAUUUGAAUAUAAU